AGCGAACGCUGGCGGCAGGCCUAACACAUGCAAGUCGAACGGACCCUUCGGGGUUAGUGGCGGACGGGUGUGUCACACGUGGGAACGUGCCUUUAGGUUCGGAAUAGCUCCUGGAAACGGGUGGUAAUGCCGAACGUCCCCUGCGGGGGAAAGAUUUAUCGCCUUUAUAGCGGCCCGGGUCUGUUUAGCUUGUUGGGGAGGUAAUGACUCACCAAGGCGACGAUCAGUAGCUGGUCUGAGAGGAUGACCAGCCACACUGGGACUGAGACAUGGCCCAGACUCCUACGGGAGGCAGCAGUGGGGAAUCUUGCCCAAUGGGCGAAAGCCUGACGCAGCCAUGCCGCGUGAAUGAUGAAGGUCUUAGGAUUGUAAAAUUCUUUCACCGGGGACGAUAAUGACGGUACCCGGAGAAGAAGCCCCGGCUAACUUCGUGCCAGCAGCCGCCGCAG
rnacentral:rRNA from 1 species